AGUGAGUGUAGACUAUCCGGAUGAAACCCUAGGAAUGGUGGUGACCAAAGAGCUGGAAAACUGGGCUCAUGAUUGCAUGCUGUAGACUCUUAAGGAAGGAGGAUGACUGUGAUGGUAGCAGAGCCACAUAUUUCAUCUGUUGCAUCCUUCUAGGACAAAGAUAUUCCACCAGUGUUCCUGGCUCCAGCCUCAUGCGCAGUGACUGUAGUUUUCUAUACACUAAAUACAAGCCAUGAUGCCUAUUCAAUGAGUUGAAUCUGGCCCAGAACGAUCAACACUGGAUUUGAGCCAGGAGGCACCAGCUCUAAUUUUACCCUUACAGAAAACCCCAUUCUACUUCUGAGCAAAUCAAAGGCAAUUUGCCUCCACAGGAUGCAACCCUUAUCUUCUCCAGACAGGCUCUGCAGAUGCUUAAUUACAUCAAAUUUCAGCUUCUGCUCUUAACUCUCUAGUCCAGUGAUCCUGAGCUGAGCCUAAAUGAAUUGCGAGCCUUUUGCCCCAGGUGAUGCUAAAUCUUACCCAUGUUUUACAGGACUACAAGAACCAAACAGAAGUUACUGAUUUUUGCAAGCCAGCUUGAGCCCUAGCCCUAUCUGUAAUCUUGAUAUCCUUUAC
rnacentral:lncRNA from 1 species